AUGCUGGGGGACAUUUGUAUUACGAUUGUCAUGAGGCUCUAUCUUCAUUUCUGACUGAUUUUUAAACAGUAUGUCUUAAAGUUCCGUUAAAAAAUGUCUCUAUUCCUUAGUGUCUCUGGAAAUAACUCAGGGUCUGUAAACCAACAUUUAAAUGCCCAAAGGAAGAACCUGGCAGGGAACUUCAGAGCGAAUAUUUUCAUGAAGGGAGAAAUUCUUUGGUAACUUGAACAAUUGCUGCCUUGGUAUUUGGAGGCAAAUAAAUCAACCUUUAGGGGAAAGAGUUCUUGCCCCAAUUUAGGGGCUUUUAUAAACUGAGACGACAGCUCAAUCUCAGGGGCUGUAACUAGAAUCACAGGCUCCCCCAGUCUGCUACUUAAGAAGCUGUUAAUGGCCAGCUUAUUAGCCCAUUAGCAACUGCUUUAGCCCAUUAGGAGACGUUUAAGUGGUGCAAACCGCUGGCAGUUCCAGCAGGGUGAGGCUUGGUUGACUUCGCCGUGGUGAUUCCUUGCUUUGGCAAAUUAUCUGAGUGGGUCAGGGCAGCUUUCCUCGUGUGACGUUUACUUGUAAUGAGGCACGCCUGUACUCCGUGUCCCAUCUGGGGUGGAAUUCUUAGGGCGAUCAUUUGGAAAGGGGUAGUUUUGUUCUUGUAAACUAUAGACUCUCAGCUGCUGAUGACCCGACCACUAGCCACCUACCUCUAAUUGCCACCCCUCUCCCCUGCGGCUGCUCCCAACCACAGAGGAAUUAGUUAAAAACUCUGGUGAUUAGAGGAGAUGUUGCCAAACCUGGAGGGGUGGCCUGUGUGUGGACUGCAAGAAGUUAGCCUGGCUUGAUUCUUGAUCUGUUUUAUGCCUAUAGUAGGGAGACUAGUGGCCCCUGCUAAAGCUGGACCCUGCCUGAAUCCCUGCAACCCAUGAAUAUGUUACCUUACAUGACAAAAGGGAAUUUGUGGAUGUGAUUAAAGACCUUGAGAUGGGGAGAGUAACCUGCAUUAUCCAGGUGGACCAAUGUGCUCACAAGAGUCCUUAAAUGUGGAAGAAGGAGGGAAAAGAGGAGGUUAGAGUGAUGCAAUGUAAGAAGACUUCCCUGUUGUUGCUUGAAGAUGGAGGAGGGAAGGGAGCAGAGGCAUGCGGCAGCCUCCAGAAGCGGGAAAGGGCAAGGACGUGAAUUCUCCACGUAGAAUUCUUCCGCAGAGUCUCUGGAAGGGAACACAACCCUGCUGACAUCUUGAUCUUUGUCCAGUGAGCAACAUUUCAGCUUCUGACCUCAGACUGUAAGCGCAUCCCGAGACUGCAGGCUGAAGCUCGCCUUGUCACUCUGUAUGCGCAAGACUUCCACACCCGAGGCUUAUCACAAGCAAUUAUCUUACCCAAAUAAAAAAUGAAAAUGGAAAAGUUAAAUAAAUAACAGGACAUCUUGAUGGAAUCGCAGUAAUGCUCAUCUUGGUUAACAUUAGCCCUGACUUUUGGACAGCUAGAUUUGUUAAUACGCUUGUCCUUUGUUUAGGUACCUAUCUCCGUAAAUCUCAUGACUUUCCAAAAUGAUGGAUGGCAGCCAUCUCUGCUCUCUCCUAAAAAUACAUCCUCCAGGAAACUGGAAGAAGCAAAAUGGACACUGUGGACCUGACCUAAGUAUUUCUUAGAUUGGAGAAAACCCUCAAAACUGAAUUCACUAAAAAUUAUUAUGGUUUUCUCCACCACGUGCUCAGCCUUCUGUUGUUCCCCGUUUUCCUGCUGUAUAAGGAGCUCUGCACACCUGCACCAGUGAGGCCUCAAUGAACUUGAACUGGAAAGCAUAGCUUGGUAUAGCAGUAAGGGUGGACCAGCCUGGGCUCUGGCAGCAAACGAUGCUGAACGUCAGGGGCUUAACACAGCUGAAGGUUUCGCUGUUCUUCAUGCAAAGCCCCCAUGUGGUGCUACUGGUUUGUCUUGACAGUUGUCCUUAAGAUCUCCAGGCUGGCCUCCCAGACUGCUUUGACCUGCUAGCAUCUCUGUCCCCGCGUGCGCUUCCACCAUGGUCACAGCCGGGAAAGAGAAGCCUGGAGAUUCAGGCACUGACGGUUACACGCUUUGGCAAGAAGUGACACAGGCUGUUUCCAUUCACACGUCAUUGGCCAGAACUGGUCACAAGGUCAGCCCAACCACAAGAGGGUGGCAAAGUGCACCUGGAAGGAAAUGAGCUCUUUACGUUGAGGAACGUGAGUGACAUCUAAUCCCUCAGGAAGUUCUGACCCCUGACAGUUGUUUCUCUCUGUUCCCCCUAAGUGUGACUGAGUAACUUAACCCAGGUGUCAGCCAUCUGGGAGUUCCUGUGUCCCACAGACUUCUGAAGUCACCUUUCAUUCAUUCGUUCAUUCAUUUAUAUUGAAAUAUAUUUGACAUGUAACAUUGUGUAAGCCUACGGUCUAUGUGUUGAUCAAAACAUGUUGAUUUGAUACAUUUCUAUCUCAUAAUAUGAUUGCCACUGUAGUGUUAGUUAUUGCCUCUAUCACAUCACAUAAUUAUCGUUUCUUUUUUAUGGUGCAAAUAAUUAAGAUCUAGUCUCUUAGCCAGUUUGAUAAUUAUAAUAUAAUAUUGUUAUCUAUAGUUACUCUAUUGUGCAUUAGAUCUCCAGGACUUAUUUAUCUACUAGUUGCAAGUUUGUAACACUUCUUUAUAUAUAUAUAUAUAUAACAUAUACAUAUAUGUCAUUUCAAAAUAGACUUUAUUUUGUAAAGCAGUUUAGGUUCAUAGCAAAAAUGAUUUCUACAUAUUUCCUGCCCCCACACAUGCAUAGCCUCCCCCAAUAUCAACAUCCCUCAUCAGAAUGGUACAUUUGUUAUAAUUGAUGACCUAUAUAGACACAUCAUUAUGACCCAAAGUCCAUAGUUUACAUUAGAGUUUGCACUUGGUGGUGUACAUUCCAUGGGUUUGGACAAAUGUAUAAAGACAUGUAUCUACCAUUAUAGUAUCAUAUAGAAUAAUUUCACUGGCCUGAAAUCCUCUGUGAUCCAUCUAUUCAUUCCUUUCCUUCUGCUAACCAUUGAUCUUUUUACUGUCUCCAUAGUUUUGACUUUUCCAGAAUGUCAUAUAAUUGGAAUCAAACAGUGUGCAGCCUUUUCAGAUUGGCUUCUUUCAUUUAGUCAUAUGUGUUUCAGGUUCCUCCAUGUUUUCUCAUGGCUUGAUAGCUUGUUUCGUUUUAGUGCCAAAUCAUACUCCAUUGUCUGGAUGUACCACAGUUUAUUUAUAUAUUCACCUACUGAAAGACAUCUUGGUUGUUCCCAAGUUUUGGCAAUUAUGAAUAAGGCUGUUAUAAACAUCCACGUGCAGGUUUUUAUGUGCAUAUAAGUUUUCACUCCUUCAGGUAAGUACCAAGGAGCCUGAUCGCUGAAUUGUAUGGUAAGAGUAUGUUUAGUUUUGUAAGAAACUGGCAAACUGUCUCCCAGAGUGGCUGUACCAUUUUGCAUUCCCACCAGCAUUGAAUGAGAGUUCUUGUUGCUCCAUAUCCUUGUCAGCAUUUGGUGUUGUCAGUGUUUUGGAUUUUGGCCACUGUGAGAGGCAUCUUGUUGUUGUUUUAAUUUGCAAUUCUCUUAUGGUGUAUGAUGUGGAGCAUCUUUUCCUAUGCUUGGUUUCCAUCUGUGUAUCUUCUUUGGUGAGGUGUCUGUUCAAGUCUCUUGCCCAUUUUUUAGUCAGGUUGUUUGUUUUCCUAUUGUUUAGUUUUAAAAGUUCUUUGUAUAUUUUGGAUAACAGUCCUUUAUCAGAUAUGUCUUUUGCAAAUACUUUCUUCUAGUUUGUGGCUUGUCUUUAACAUAUUUUUUUUUUUUAACUGAUUCAUUGGGUCCCUAUGAAACCCAAUAUUCCCAUCAAUGCCUCUGAAGAUUCUUGGAAGACGGGCUUAUAUUUUUCUUAGUCACCUCUAGCUGAGAUUUCUGUAUCCAGAGAAUUUUUUAUCUCUUCUCUGAAUAUGUAGAUG
ensembl:lncRNA